AUUGAACGCUGGCGGCAUGCCUAACACAUGCAAGUCGAGCGAGCGACGGACGGGUGAGUAAUGGCUGCGAACCUGGCAGCUGGGGGGGGAUACCUACUGGAAACGGUAGCUAAUACCGCACACCAUCAGAUUUGCCCCGAUGGGAUUAGCUAGUAGGUGGGGUAACGGCUCACCUAGGCGACGAUCCCUAGCUGGUUUGAGAGGAUGACCAGCCACACUGGAACGGAGACAAGGCCCAGACUCCUACGGGAGGCAGCAGUGGGGAAUAUUGCACAAUGGGCGAAAGCCUGAUGCAGCCAUGCCGCGUGUGCGAUGAAGGCCUUCGGGUUGUAAAGCACUUUCGGCGGGGAGGCGGUACCUGCAGAAGAAGCACCGGCUAACUCCGUGCCAGCCGCCGCGGUAAUAC
rnacentral:rRNA from 1 species